rnacentral:lncRNA from 1 species
AAUAUCAGGAUAUGAUAAAGGUGAGGGGGAGGUGCAUGCAGCCAGGCACACAUUUUACAAAAGUUUGUUGCUGGUCUUGUGAAGGUUUACUACAGUUACAAGGAGCAGACAUGACCAUGAAAGAUUUUAGUGUUGUUCCAGGUAUGAGGAGAUGCAAGAAUUGGGCACAUAAAAUCUUCUGAAAAUAUCUGACUAUCUGAAGAUCUGUUCUUCCAGUUUUCCCAGCACAGAGAGUGCCUCAUUCCUGAUCCAGCCCAGAGGAUCUGCAGCUGCUGUGGCUCAUAAUUUAAUCCACAUAGAGGCUGAUGGCAAGUGCCAAACUUCACACAAUUGUUACUAACUAAACGUGAAGAUUGUGUAAGUGUUGAAAGUAUAAUUAAUAUCCAUAUUAAAAAUCUGCAUUUAGGAGUUACCAUCAUGGCUCGGUGGAAACAAAUCUAACUAGCAUACACUUGAGGACACAGGUUCUAUCCCUGGCCUUGUUCAGUGGGUUAAGGAUUUGGUAUUGCUGUGAGCUGUGGUGUAGGUUGCAGACGCGGCUCAGAUCUGGCGCUGCGGCUGUGGCUCCAAUUUGACCCCUAGCCCGGGAACCUCCAUAUGCUGCUGGUGUGGCCCUAAAAAGACAAAAAAAAAAAUUGCAUUUGUUAAGUGGUAUUAUUUAAUUGUUAUUCAUAAAUUUUUUUAACCAGUAGAUUGUGCAAUAAAAAAUAUAUUCCUUUAUUCAAGGUUUGAAUACUGGCAAAUUAAAAAAGGCAGACUAUAUAUGAAAAUCAAUAAUAAUUGAUUUAAUAUUCAUUCAAUAAUAAUUCUAGAUGUGAAAACUAAAACUAUAUAGUGUAGCACCUAUUUGUAUUGGUAUACUUUUAGCUGAAAUUAAAAGGUAAAUUCACCUAUUGAUCAAGUAAUGCAAAAAGAAAUGGAAAGGCUUGUUGCAGCUGUUGAAAUUAUGUCUUAUUUCAUCUAAUUGUAUCAUUCAGAAAAUGAGAAUAAUGGUUUGGCUAUAUAUGGAACUGGCAACAUUUGUGCAUAAGAAUAAAGAGUUGAACUUGGCUAACACUCCUGACAUGUUAGGCUUUCUGUGCUUUAUACAACCCCUGACACAACAGAGAGCGUUUUCUCAGGUUUAACAGAAAAAGUGCUGUCAAAGAUUCUGCCCUGGAAGGAGAAAAGGAGGCUUAUCAAGAAAGGCUGCACAGGGUGGGUGUGAUGAUGAUAUUCUCAGGCUUCAGGUGGUAGGAAGGUAGCUGCAGAAGUUCCAGUCCCAUCAGCCCAUCAUCCUCUCAAGGUCUUCUGUUCUUGCUGCCUUUGUUCCCAGCAAAAGUAUCUUUGUGUCCUCUUGGCUCAGGGUCUUUUUGUCUGUCUAGGUAAGGUCAUGGUCUGAGAGUUGGGGGGAGGAGUAAAUCUUUAAACAACAACAAUAAAAUAGGCUGCUAUUACCAAAGAGGGUUUAAUGAAUUCCAGGCAGACAAUGAAUAAAAAAUAUCCAGUAGAGUAGGAUUCGUAAAAAUAAAAUAAUAUUAUUAACUAAAAGAGGAGACAUUCUGCUUUUUAUAAUGCACAUCAUCUGGAGAUCUUAUCAAAUCAGCUAAUACAAUAAGUGGAAACAUUACAGAAAACUUGCAGGAAUUUUUAUAAACAUUCAGUUACUUGGGCUUUAGCAAAGUUGCUCUGGCGCCAGGUAAAUAUCUUAUGGGGCUGAGAAUACUGAUUGUAAUUACCUUACAACAAAGGGAAUAUUUAAAAAAAUUUACCUACCAUUGGAAAUUCACUAUUCAAGUAAGAUAUCAUUAUGAUUUAAUUUGCCAUGAGUCUCAUACAUUUGUGCGGUAUAAGGGAGAAAGUACUGGAUAAAGAUUUACAUGACCUGGCUUCUUGACCUUUAACUAGCAAGUUACGUGGUUUCUGCUCCCUUAUUUGUUAAAUGAAGCUGUUAGAGAACUUUAAAUUCUAAUUCUGUAGAAUGUUAUGAUCAGAUUGUUCCAAGCUGUACAGAUAAAGUUAAUAUUAAGGAGAGUAUGAUUUCCUUUAUAAAGAGAAAUAUUAAUGUGAUGAUUAAUUAAUGUUUAUUUAAAAAUGUAUAUGUACAGCAUAGCUCAAUGUAAUAAGAAUUUUUCAUUCCCGAAAAGUUUAUAAAAUAUAUGAACUUUCUAAUAAUUUCAAUUUAUCACUAGAAAGACACAAAUAUUAAAAAAAAAACCUGAUUAUUAUCUAGAGUUUUCUCUGCCAGGAAAUUAGCAAAAUGCAAAUAGAAUAUAACAGUACAGAUUUCUAAGUCUGUUUUUUCAAAAUAGUUGUGUGGCAAAAUAACCUUGAGAUAUUUUAAAAUAAUCUUAUGAUUGGCUUAUGCAUUGGUUUAAAAUUACUCAUUUUUUAAAUGUACUGGAUUUUUAAUGAGACAAGUUUGCAUUAAUGAUCACAUUAGUAGCAUAAUUCUUAACAUUUUGGACACAUAGAGCAGAAGGGUGUGAACACUGAUUAUUGGUUGAAUAGUAAAGUGGAGCUGGGAAACCAGUCUAUAAAAAAUUGGACUCAUUUGCUAAAGCCAUGGUUUCUAAAAGUAUUUUUGUUGACUAUGUCUAUUGGUUAAAAAAUACACAUAUAUAUAUGUACACAUACAUGCAUACAUAAAAUAUAUUUAAGGAUAUCUUUCUAUUUAUUUGUGAGUAAUAUAUACAUGUCCUAUACUGUAUACAUUAUAAAAUAGGCACGAUAGUAGAAAUAUAAAGGAUAAGAUAAUGAUGAAAUAACUGGUACUUUUAAAAGAAUUGAUUUACUUUCAUUCAUGAUAUAAACAUCUUUGUUCUACUAAGACGUAGAGGUGGAAUAAUGCUAAUAACACUUUUUGAAGUUACACAAUAGAAUAUGAAUCAUUAUUUUUAGAAAAUUAGCACUUUGAAAUGCAGGAAUUGAAAAUAUAGUUAUAAAUUUUGGUUUAUUGGUGUAACAGCUAUCAAUAACUGAAAAAUAAUUCCUCACAAAGGUAUAUAGAUCCAAGUGAAGAAAUUUGUUGGCCAAAAAUUAUGCUAACAUUUUUAAUUGAAAUCUAGUUGAUGAAUUCUCAUCUCAAUUGAAGUCAAUCAAUUAUUCUUAUAAACUAAACACAAGGCCUUAGAUUUACCUAUUCUUAACAAACUGGUUUAAAGUCCUGUGAAACAUUUCACACAAUGAAAAUAUUUCUGAAUAUCUACUUUUACUACAUUAUCUUCAUAGUAAUGACUUUUUUUUCUAUAAAUCACUAUUUUUUUCAUUUUGCCAUAAUAUCAACAAGCCCCUGUGUGGUCACCCCCAUCUCAAUACCUAAUACUAUAAAGAUUCACUAUGUUUUAAAAGUCUUGUUUUCAAAUAAUUAAUUGCUUUGACAACAUCCUGUUAUAUUCGGAAAACUUCUGGUUUCAAAUUCUUUGUCAUAAUAUUUUGUCUGUGAUUAGGAUAAACAGUGACUUUUAUGCGUAUUGCUAUUGUUCUAUCCUAGCUUUGCUCUUUUUUCAUCCUAGUCAGACUUACACCCUGUUAUUUGUUAUACAGUCUUUCCACUGAAUAUUAUUUUUUAAGGAACUCAUUUAGUGUGAAGUUAUAAAUUCUCUAAUGCAAAGUUCUUUUAAUGGUUAGUAGUAGAAAGAACAUACUGUGUUUUAUUGAAGCAAUCUAAUACUGCAAUCUGAGACACAGUCAGCUGUAUAGCAAUCCUGCCAUUUAAAAAAGAAGGUGGUGAGAAUGGAAUAGAGGUAUUUUUCAGUGGACAAGAUCGUGAUGGUCAAUUAUAUCUCUUACAAGGAUACACAAUGUAGAAACCUGUAAAGCAGUAAUAACAUAGCUUUUUCAGUGUUUUUUUUAUUUGUUUGUUUUCGAGAGUAAGUAAGACAACUCUUCUGGGUAGAUUCCUAGAAACAUUGAAAUUCCGUAAUGACAUGUAUAAUUUUUGAAGACAUCUUGAAAUCUUUAGUUCCUGAAAAAGAUGAAAUAGGGAAUGUUUUCUUAAUGGUACACUUAUCUCUUAUAGUUUAAAUAACCUGAAAGGAGGCUGUCUAUAUUUUAUAUGCUGUUCAUUUACAUGCAUAUAGCUGUAAUAAAAUAUAGACUUUCUUAGAUUCACUUAGAAAUUUGGCUGCCUUCCCAGCAAAAGGCAAGUAUAUAAAACUGAAUUUCCUCAUCUGUUAAACAAGUUGGCCUUCUCAACCCUUGAAAUAUAUAUGUAUAUAUUUCAAUGAUAAUAUCUUUUUACUAUAUUUGAUAAAUUCACAUGCAGAAAAAUAAUCUAUGUUUUGACUCUGGUAAUUAAUAAGAUGUAGUCUUGUGUUCCAAGCUAGACUUCUUUUAUGGAACAAAUUGGCCAAAUUCUCAGGUCACUAUAUAAGUAAGGCUUUUUUCUGGAAUACAUAUUCUAUCUCCUGCUAUUUCUUACUGAAUAAAUUGUUAAGGCACUUACCUUUAUCCUUUUUACUCUUCAUUUAACAAGCCAGGCUAUUUUAUAGGACAUGUUGUAAUGCCAAAUCGGAGACUUUGUGCGAGGAUAUGAAAAUAUGGAGGAAAGCCAGCAUGUUUGUUGUAGGGGAUGGAGGGCCCGUUUGAAAACCAGAUAAACUCUAAGUUGAGACCUGAACUUAGAGCACUUGCCAGCUGUGAAACUUUAGGAAAGUUGGCUUACCUUGAAUAAGUCUCAGUUUGGGAAAUUAAGAAGUUAAGUGUUAAAAGAACUAAAUUACAGUGUGUGAAAAGGGAUCCUCAUAGUAGAUGAUCAAAACAUUACAUAUGUAUCUUAUUGUUGUACAAAAUUCAAAGAAAACUUGACCCAGUUUAUUUUUGUUUUUACUAAAAUAUCAAAUACAAUGUUUAUCUUUGUAGGACGUCCAAGCAUUCCAAAAUAGAGUUUCCAAAUAUAGGUAUAUUGUACUUGAAAACAGGCAGCAUGAUGUGCUUUAGUCAGAAAACAGUCAAGUGGGCAAACACAGUUUUGACUUCUAAAUUUCUGCUUUAAUUGCUGAAACUGUGUUGCCUUCAAAGCAGAUAUCAAGUAAUAUUUAUUAAGUCUUCUGAAGUAUUGGCAUGUUAACAGUUGUGAUUUUACCUUGUGCCUUUUUGUUCCUCAAACAAUAUUUGGCUACUUAAUAAAGAAUCUUAUUAACAGGCUAAAUAUACUUAAAAGACACAUGUAGGAAAGAGCACAUGUUGGUUCCAAUAGUCAUAAUGCAUGUUCUCUUUUUUUUUGCACAGUUCUAAUAGUUAGGAAUUGACUCCUGAUGUCUUUUGUCCUCCAUACAAUCAUGUGAUUGUUUUAAACUGCAGCCUUUUUGACCUAAAGCUAAUCUUUUUUAGACAUAAGAAAUAAUUUUUUAGGCCCCAAGUGUUUUGAGUUAUGAAGAUUGCAAGAUAAAGCAUUCAUUGGAGUGUAUCUUGUUAAGAUAAAUAUGUUGGAAAUAACGUUUUUAUUUAAAAAGUACUAUAGCCAGUGUUUGCUUAAUUAUAGUUAGAGAGAAAACAGUCACUACUAAUGUACUGCGGCAUUUAAUGACACUUCUGUGUGUGAUAAAAACAAAAAUACUUUAGUUACAAAGAUGGAAAUGGCUUUGGGUCCUACUUACCAUUGAAGGGCAUUACUUUCUCAUGUACUCUGUUUGAACUUUGAGCAUAUAUAAUUUUUUUGUUGUUAAAUAUGUUGUCAGCUAAUCAGCAAAGAUUUAUUGCACACCUUUUCUGCAGUGUGUGUUAUGGUAGUUAUGUGGAACACAAAGAUCGUAAGACAAGGUAAGUAGCUUCCCAUCGUAUUGGAGAAGCAAUAAAUUUUCUGCAGGAAACAGAUAGCAAUAUUGGCUGAUAUAUGAGUAAGUGACGAACAGCAUUUCCCAAAGUAUUCUAUGAAAUGCUAUUUCCUUGAAAUGCUCUGUGGAAAAUAUUCUGUGGCCAAAUGUGUUUGGGAAAUGUGGCCCAAUAUAUUUCACUUUUAGAGAUUUACAGUACACUCUAGCAUAUUAAAGAGUCUGAGAAAGCCUGCAGUAAAGAAGCCAGGAAAAAUUUUUUGGACAAACAAUUUUCCAAGCUUAUUUUGACCAUGUCCUGACUAUCUCCUGUAGGAUCCCACUUUAGAAAAUUCUCCUUGAUUUAGAAGCUAAUUAAUCCAACAGAACAUACCCUUAAAGGAUAGGAAAGCUUACUUUCUCUGAUGAAAUGCUGAUUUAAAAACAGUGACAUUAGAGAGUUUCUGCUGUGGCUCAGUGGGUUAAGAACCCAACUAGCCUCUGUGAGGAUGCAGGUUCCAUCCCUGGCCUUGCUCAGUGGGUUAAAUGAUUCGGCUUUGCUACAAGCUGUGGCGUAGGUUGCAGAUAUAGCUUGGAUGUGGCAUUGCUGUGGCUGUGGUAUAGGUAGGCAGCUGCAUGCAGCUCUGAUUCAUCCCCUAGCCCAGAAAUCUCCAUAUGCCACAGGUAUGGCU